UUAGCGAUAGUCGUUUUUAACGGUUUGAUAUACAGCGAGUUGUUAUGCAGAUUGACAUUGCCGCGCGCGUGCACCUGCUUACCGUCCAGUGGAAUAUCGAGAUUCAGAUGCCCCCCUACGCCGCCCGUGAUUUGCAGCUGCUCCAGGGCGGCACCCAGCGACGACUUCAGCGGAGUCUGCUGAAAAUAGUCCGCGACCUGCGGGCCUUCGCCAUGGAUAUCCCCAUCGAUGAUCAGCUUCUCUUUCAGAUAGUCAGGGAUGACCGCGCUGACGUUGCGCGCUUCGACGUCACCCAGCCGGGCAACCGGGGCAUGCAUCCACAGUCCGUCAUUCAGGAAGUUGAGGUCGAUAUCCAGAUUGCUGAUCGCCGGCCAUUUGGGCUGAAACGCGUAGGUCGCCUGGCGCAGCGGCA
rnacentral:ncRNA from 1 species